GCCCAAGUGGCGGAAUGGUAGACGCAGGGGAUUCAAAAUCCCCCGCCUUUACGGGCGUGUCGGUUCGAGUCCGACCUUGGGCA
rnacentral:tRNA from 1 species